rnacentral:rRNA from 1 species
CAGCCGCCGCGGGAAUACAGAGGAUGCAAGCGUUAUCCGGAAUGAUUGGGCGUAAAGCGUCUGUAGGUGGCUUUUCAAGUCCGCCGUCAAAUCCCAGGGCUCAACCCUGGACAGGCGGUGGAAACUACCAAGCUAGAGUACGGUAGGGGCAGAGGGAAUUUCCGGUGGAGCGGUGAAAUGCGUUGAGAUCGAAAAGAACACCAACGACGAAAGCACUCUGCUGGGUCGACACUGACACUGAGAGACGAAAGCUAGGGGAGCAAAUGGGAUUAGAUACCCCCGUAGUCCCUGUCUCUUAUAC